rnacentral:misc_RNA from 1 species
AAGUCGUAACAAGUUUACGUGAGGUGAACCUGCGGAAGGAUCCAAUUGAUUCGAAAAAUAAAAGGGGGGUUAGUUCAGUGCUGGCCUCUCGGGGCACGUGCACGCCCAAAUCCACAACACACCUGUGAACCCACCGUAGGCCCUCGGGCUUAUGUAUAUCAUAUACUCUGAUCAUAGAAUGUAAAUAUUUUGCCUUAAAAACGCAAUGAAGUACAA